GACGAACGCUGGCGGCGUGCUUAACGCAUGCAAGUCGAACGAUGAAGCGGUGCUUGUACCGUGGAUUAGUGGCGAACGGGUGAGUAAUACGUGAGUAACCUGCCCCGUGCAGAGGGACAGCCUCGGGAAACCGGGAUUAAGACCUCAUGAUAUCAGGUUAUCACAUGGUAAUCCGGUCAAAGAUUUAUCGGCAUGGGAUGGGCCUGCGUCUGAUUAGCUGGUUGGUGGGGUAACGGCCUACCAAGGGGACGAUCAGUAGCAGAACUGAGAGGUUCAUCUGCCACAUUGGAACUGAGACACGGCCCAGACUCCUACGGGAGGCAGCAGUGGGGAAUAUUGGACAAUGGGGGCAACCCUGAUCCAGCGACGCCGCGUGUGUGAAGAAGGCCUGCGGGUUGUAAAGCACUUUCAGUGGGGAUGAAAAGCUCAGGGCUAAUACCCUUGAGUCUUGACCUAACCCAAAGAAAAAGCACCGGCUAACUCUGUUCCAGCCGCCGCCGUAAAAC
rnacentral:rRNA from 1 species